AGUCAAAUCUUGGUUUUGAAGCCUUCUUAUGAUAAAAAGUUUUCCAAAUUUUGACCUGAUUUUACUCUGGUCUGUUGCUGGUUUUAAAAUGUUAGCCCUGAAACACUGUAGUUGCUGUGAUGAUAAAAAGGAUGGACACAAGUUGAACGUGUUUUGACCUGUGGCUCAUAAGUGCUGUGUUGAUAAAAAAAUGGUGGACAAAGUUGAACCUUGUUUCACCUGUGGCUCACAUGCUGUGAUGAUAAUAAUGGUGGGCAUAAGUUGAACCUGUUUUAAUCUUUCGGUGAU
rnacentral:lncRNA from 1 species